GCAGGGAAUCUUGCGCAAUGGGCUAAAAGGCCUGACGCAGCGACACCGCGUGGGGGAAGAAGGCUUUCGGGUCGUAAACCCCUUUUCUCGGGGAAGAGUGAGGACGGUACCCGAGGAAUAAGCCUCGGCUAACUACGUGCCAGCAGCCGCGGUAAUACGUAGGAGGCGAGCGUUGUCCGGAUUUACUGGGCGUAAAGGGCGAGUAGGCGGCCUUGCAAGUCUCAUGUGAAAUCUCCCGGCUUAACUGGGAGGGGUCAUGGGAAACUGCUAGGCUUGAGGGCAGUAGAGGAGAGUGGAAUUCCCGGAGUAGCGGUGAUAUGCGUAGAUACCGGGAGGAACACCCGAGGCGAAGGCGACUCUCUGGGCUGCACCUGACGCUGAGGCGCGAAAGCAUGGGGAGCAAACCGG
rnacentral:rRNA from 1 species